rnacentral:rRNA from 1 species
UCCGUAGGUGAACCUGCGGAAGGAUCAUUAGUGAAUUGAGCUGGCUUCGGCCGCUCUGAUCUAUACACACCUGUGAACUGUUGACCUUCGGGUCUUUAACUACAACUGUGACGAACGUAAAUUAUUAUAAUCAAUAAAACUUUUAACAACGGAUCUCUUGGCUCUCGCAUCGAUGAAGAACGCAGCGAAAUGCGAUAAGUAAUGUGAAUUGCAGAAUUCAGUGAAUCAUCGAAUCUUUGAACGCACCUUGCGCCCGUUGGUAUUCCGACGGGCAUGCCUGUUUGAGUGUCGUGAACAACCUCAACCUUGAUUGGUUUUACCAUCAAGGCUUGGACUUGGGUGUUGCUGCUGCAAAGUGGCUCGCCUUAAAACUAUUAGCUGGACUUGUCUAUGACUUGGUUCGACUCGAUGUAAUAAGUAUUCACCGGGGACAGGGUUAAACCUGGCCAAGGCUUGAUGCCGUCUGCUUCUAAUCAUGUUCUCACUAUGAGACGCUACUUUACUGUGUGGCCUCAAAUCAGGUAGGAUUACCCGCUGAACUUAAGCAUAUCAAUAAGCGGAGGAA